rnacentral:rRNA from 1 species
CCUACGGGUGGCAGCAGUGAGGAAUAUUGGUCAAUGGACGCAAGUCUGAACCAGCAACGCCGCGUGAAGGAAGAAGGCUUUCGGGUUGUAAACUUCUUUUCUCAGGGACGAAGCAAGUGACGGUACCUGCGGAAUAAGCCUCGGGUAACUACGGGCCAGCAGCCGCGGCAAUACGUAGGUGGCAAGCGUUAUCCGGAUUUACUGGGUGUAAAGGUCGGGUAGGCGGGACUGCAAGUCAGAUGUGAAAUCCACGGGCUCAACCUGUGGCUUGCAUUUGAAACUGUAGUGCUUGAGUACGGGAGAGGCAGGCGGAAUUCCUGGUGUAGCGGUGAAAUGCGUAGAUAUUAGGAGGAACACCAGUGGCGAAGGCGGUCUGCUGGACAGCGACUGACGCUGAGGCGCGAAAGCGUGGGGAGCAAACAGGAUUAGAUACCCUAGUAGUC